rnacentral:rRNA from 1 species
UACGUAGGGGGCAAGCGUUGUCCGGAUUUAUUGGGCGUAAAGAGCGUGUAGGCGGCCGUACAGGUCAGCUGUGAAAACUCGAGGCUCAACCUCGAGACGUCGGUUGAAACCGUACGGCUAGAGUCCGGAAGAGGAGAUUGGAAUUCCCGGUGUAGCGGUGAAAUGCGCAGAUAUCGGGAAGAACACCCGUGGCGAAGGCGGCUCUCUGGGACGGUACUGACGCUGAGACGCGAAAGCGUGGGGAGCGAACAGG